CUUACUAAACAGCAGAAAUCAGCUUUUACAAUUUCUAAAUACCAAGUUUUGUCACUCUCGGAGCUGCCUAAGGAUAACACAGCUUGCCUUCAGCUUCAUAAAUAACACAUACUCUGCACAUUUCUUCGCCUGGGUGAAAUAAAUUCUCCCAUGUUCUUAUAUGGAAACCUUGUGAGUCCUCCCACGUAGCGCCUGGUACAAUAUUCAGGCAGCGAUGGGCAUUCAUUAUCUUAAAGCCAGCGGGUGAAUUUCGGAUACAAGUUACCCCCAGACGAACCCAAAAUUAUCACCCCUUCACACCACGCUGAGCUCAGUAACCUGCUCUGUGCAGUCCCUGCAUUUUAUUUCCAAGCCCCAAUCACAACUUUGAUUUCAGCAUCAAACCAACGAAAUAAAUGGAAAACGAAGGGAAUAAAAAGGAAAACGAGGGAAACAGCAAGAAAGCAUCAGCAGCAUUAUUACCCACCAGAGCGCCCUUCUCGCAGUCAAAGCAUCCCACGGCGCUGUCACCAGCUCUGCCCGUCGCUGCGCCCGGGCCCUGGCUCUGAUCUUCCGCGGCCACUUUUCUUCCCGGGAAACUGUACUCUGGACCCGGUGCCGCCCUGCCAGGCUUUGGAGGCGUUUGGUCUCGGCAGCCGUGUGCUGCUGGAGAAGGCAGCACGGGAGCGUGGCCUGGCAGGUGCCUGGGCGGCCGGGAUCUCCUUGCUCUGCUCUGCCGCCUCCCAAAAGCGCAGUCCCCGACACCGGGCAGUCCCAGUCGCAGCUGGAGAACAAAGUACGGCCGGGGCGAUCGGCAGGGAAAAUGAGCAGGGCAACGUUUUGUCUUGCGUUGGGUUUCACAGAACCGAAAGCUGGUGCUUUUCCCCUGCAGGCGAACGGGUAUAUGACUCAAAUAUGUCCUCGCUCUCCUACCUGCAUCCCCUCUGGUUCUCUUAAUGAAAGGGUCCAGCAGCACACAGAGUCGUGAGGAAUUUUCAUAUAACCCCUGCUGAAGACUUAGUAAGAUCCUCUGUACUGCAAAAUACCGUUUGCAUUGUGGGAGCAGAGUAGUGGUGAAAGGAUAUUUUGGGCCAUCUGUGUUUCGCAGAAGUCCCGCGGCACUAACGACACUGGGAACAGCAGAGAUGCACCAAAAAAGAGUGAACAGUCCCCACAGCUCUGCUCUCCAGGCUUUCCUGGAUACAAGAUGCUACCUUCCUACACCACAAACUAGGACAGCAGUCAUUGGGAGCCCACCUCUGGAGCCCGUUGCCUAUGCACAGGCUUCUGGGGGAACAAAUUCCAUCACAGCACCCUCCAGGGAGGUCUCUAGAAAAGGCUGAUUUCCUUAGUUGGUUCUUGCAAAAGCUGCACCCCUUCUGCACACUCCUUGCUGGCAGUACAGGAUGCCAAACACACUGUGCCACAGUCACACAUCCAAUUGCCCUGACUGCAGUGCCCAUGUGAUUUUCCAGUAUCUGAGCAGAUUUCCAAAGUGAGUAGGUUUUUAGCCGAAAAAGAGAUAGAAGUAUAGGAUAUAUGCAGCUAAUUGAUGUCAUAUCUCCACCGAACAGCCUGGUUUAAACUUGUAACGAUGUAGUCCAUGCUGCCACCUACGUCUUCUGAUUCAGCUUUCUUGUGUACUGCAGCUUCGAUUCGUAGGCAUCCUUCAGAAGGCAGCUCACAUUUUGUGAGACUCCACGAGGGACUACAAACACAGGCAAGCUCUGGCUACACUAGGGAAUGAGGCAAAACGUUUCUCACUGGUGCAGCCACUUGUUUGGUUGCAGUGAGGAUGCCUUGAUGCAGAUUAGGAACAAGCAGUCACAUCGGUGAAAUGUAAGUAGCGGCUGGAGCCUUGUCUGUAUGAAGGAUCCUGCCAGCACAGCUGUACCAGUGACAGCAGUGGAAUAUUUUGCUCAAGUUCUCUAGGGGAAUCAAAGCCUGUAUUUUGUGUCUGGCUUUCUCUGUUCUGUUGCUCCUCACUCAUUAAAAGUCAGACACACAAAGCACAUGGUUGCUCUCUGUGUUUAAAAAAAAAUAUGUUUGGGGUAAAAAACCAGCAGCCAAAGCUGUUUUGAAGUCAGAAGCAUGUACACAGUACCUGGAACUAAGUGGAAGAAUAAUAAUAAUAAUUAGUCCUUUUGUGUCAUAGAUAUGCACAUGGCUGUUUGCUAUUUCAUUAUGAGACAGCACAACUUCUGAGAAUGUGCCUGAUGAAUAUUUGGGGGAACUCUGCCUUCAGCUGCAGCAGUGUAUGGCAGCACUAAUGCCUUUGGCUCCUCCACUCUCUUAUGUAACUGAAAUCACAAGUUGGAGCCCGAAUUACAAAGCAUAAGCAUGUGUAUAAUAUUAAGCGUACAAAUGGUGCCUGAAAUUACUGUCCUUUUCAUGUAGGUCUGGCUUUAAUCUGUUAGAAUUUUUGCUUCUGCGUAUCUAUUGACUUCGGCGUGUGCUGAUGCCAUUCACAGCGCAAUCAAGCCUAACCCCUUAAAAACCCCACUCUGAAGACAUUAACCCAAACCUAAACCAAGACAGUCCAAAAUCACUCUGGUUACAGGUAGGUGUACUUCAAAUGACCUGUGUACCAGACCUCGAGAGUAUCCAAUAUUAAGAAGCAGAAUACCCUAUCCAUGUGGCUGCUUUGGCGACCAGCCAGAGCGGCAGGUUUUUGCACCCCACCCCAAGGCACAAGUUAGUCAUCACCUUCCUUUGCAUUUUCCCUCUUUCUCAGAGACUAUUUUUGCCAUUACCAUGCUGAUCUACUUUCUAGAGUUUUAAGGUGUCGGGUGCUGAUACAGCGAGUGCCUCUUGUAUCUGUUUAAUCCGAUAACAUAACUCUUUUUUAAUCUCCACGUCUGGGUCACAGGGUUUAAAAAAGACACUGGGCCAAAUCCCCAGCUUGGCUACAACGUGUGGAAAUCUACUGAGAUGGCACGAAAGUCAGGAGAGAUUCGCUGUAUUUGCACCCGGUUAAAGAAGUCUCGAGAGGCAGGGAUGUGAGUGCCAGAUUUCACAGAUGGAUGCGUAUUAGCACAGGAGUAUGGCAGAGCCAGGUCAGGUUUCUAUCAGGUAAGGCAGAGGGAGGGAUAUCACACCAGGAUCUCAAAUAUGCUCGUCAGCAAAUUCUCAUUCAUUUUUAAAUUGAAACAGAUUUAAUAUUUCUUCACUUUUCAGGAGAACAGCUUGUUUUCACUGUGCGGCUGCUAAAGCGAACAUGAUGUUUCAUGGAGUCAGGACCAAGAUAGGGCAAGGACAAAGAGGAGGUUUUGCAGGGACUGGGGAGAUUUUACAUAUAAACAUUCAAGUUAAAAAGGCAAAAUUCAUCCAGGCAUGAAGUCCAGCAGAAAGCUAGGAGACAAAUGGACAGCAUUGUCUGCAAAGGACUGUGUAAGCAAAAAUGGCAAAAAGAUGGUCUGAAUAAGUCCCUUGCAUUAAUGAUUCUCUAGACAUGAAUUUCCUAUAUAAAGCUCUAUGGGGUCAACCUUUUUAGCAGAGGAUCCUGAGCUCGAAAAAGGAAGGCAGAUUUUGUAAGGGAUUUGCAUAUCAUGGAGUGACUGUGGAUUGCAGAUUUUAAGCAUUACUAAAUUGGGGAAUAAAUUGUUGCUGUUGUUGUUACAUACCAGGAUAUCUCACUAAUCCACCCAAUCCACUAAGUUGCUGUAGUUUUAGUCUGUGUUUAUUUUACAUGAAAUUAUGGCCUGGACAGUUAAUUUUUCUUAAUUUAUCCAUAUAAAUCAUAUAUAAAUAAAAUAUCAAACAGAAAUCAAAACAUGACCUGUGUUUUUGGUACACUCCCCAUCAUGUGAACCUGCCAGUGACGGAGCCCAGUGAUGCACCCAGUUUACAAGUCGAACACAAAGACAACUAAAACCCACAGGUCUUCUUGAAAAGUAGCCAACUGGCAUUAAAUUCUCUCAUUUUAAUGCUCUAGGUGGCCUAUUUUGCUUAUAUUUGAGACUGCCUAGCCAUUAUGGGAUUGCCUGCACUGGUCCUUCCCUUACAUCAAGCUAAUUACAUAUUAACUUGAGGCACUCAGCAAGUCUGAGAGGCUGGAGCUGGUCCUUUCUGAACACCAGUUGAGUUUGGAAAUGCCUGAUGUUUUACAGGGGUGGAUUCCCAAAGUGAGAGGCAAACACAGAGGAACCAAACAGUCUGGAACCAAAGUGGUCCUGCUGGCUUUUGAAAAAAGUGAGUGUCUCAAGUUAAUUGACAGUCAGCUACCUGGAAAUAAAAACCUCUCAUAUAUCCAAAGGUUUUCACCGGGAUUUUCAAGAGCUCCUGAGCAAUUUAAAAUUCUUGGAAGGAAUGCACUAUAGAAUGAAACAUGUAUGUAUUAUUAAAGAAUGUCUCCAAACUGAAAGCCAGCCAGUUUCAUAAAAGUGAGCUAAAAAAGCAAUAACAGGUACUCUGUCUCCUGCUGGAUGCUGUAUGAACCGUAUGUUUUGCAUUUUGGAAGUCGCUCUAAAGCAAUGUUUUUUCUUCACUGUUGCUAUUGGGAAGAACAGUAAAAGAACUAUGCAUAAAUGAGGUUAAAGUAAUCUAAUUAAAAAAAUAAACAAUGUGCUUUCAUCAUCAA